UGCCCCAAAUCUGGUCCUUCUGAGUUUCUGAUUCCCUCACUCUUCAUCUCUUAUGACGCCUUCCUAAACAUUCCUGAGAGUUUCAAACAUUGUCUUUCAUUUGACUCAGGGAUUCAUCAUCCGCUUCCUGUUGAAAUAGUAAACGCCUCCACAUGGACUCACGGGUUCACCUCCUUCCGGUCUGAACAGUGAACUCCUCCGCAUCAACUCACCCAUUCACCCCUUCCGGUCUAAACAGUGAACGCCUCCGCAUGGACUCACGAGUUCACCUCCUUCCGGUCUAAACAGUGAACGCCUCCGCAUCGACUCACGGGUUCACCUCCUUCCGGUCUGAACAGUGAACUCCUCCGCAUGGACUCACGGGUUCACCUCCUUCCGGUCUGAACAGUGAACGCCUCCGCAUCGACUCACGGGUUCACCUCCUUCCGGUCUGAACAGUGAACUCCUCCGCAUGGACUCACGGGUUCACCUCCUUCCGGUCUGAACAGUGAACUCCUCCGCAUCGACUCACGGGUUCACCUCCUUCCGGUCUGAACAGUGAACUCCUCCGCAUGGACUCACGGGUUCACCUCCUUCCGGUCUGAACAGUGAACUCCGCAUCGACUCACGCGUUCACCUCCUUCCGGUCUAAAUGGUAAACUCCUCUGCAUUGUAAGUCAGUGUCUAGAGUGGUGAUUUGCUUUCUGGGGUGUGUUUUUCACAGUGAUGGUGGAUCCACAAAUUUCAAACAAAUUCUUUCUCCACCAGUUCUGUUCGGUUCUAUUUUGGUGGGGCCCACGCGUCAUCACAGAGUAUCUGGGAGCCCUGCCCUCUUGCAGAUGGGAAUGAAGGCCCAGGUGCUCUGGAGAGGUGACUCUCCUCUAGGUGAGGGGUGUGUGUGUGAGAGGAGUGAGGUGCGGUGUGGGAGGGUCCUUGCAGGGUCCGGCUGCUUUCGGAGGCUGUUUUUCUCAGCUCCCCGUUUUGUCCCUCCAAAUUGUGCCCCUCUCCUUCCAAUUGUCACUCUCCUUUCCCCCAACCCUCCCUGUCUCCCAGUUGUCUCGCUUCUCAGAAAGGAAACACUGGUUCUGUAAACCUGUUUGAGAAGAAAAGCUCGAGGUUUCUUGGCCUCUCUGCUUCUGGAGCCAGGGGAAAAAAUAGCCCCAGGCUGAAGACAGGAGGGACCAGAUUGCUGCUUGGUGAUGCGAUCUCACUGCAGAGGCAGCCAGGAGACCCUCCUGAGACGAAUCGGAGAGUCCAUGCUGCUUUUACACACAUCCUAGUUCUUUUAUAACUAGCCUUUUCCUAUUAACGGACAUCAUUCAAAAGCCAGUUUUAAGCAACAUAAAUAUUGAAAACAAUACUAUACUAUUUAGAAUUAAUUAUAAGUUUUGUUUUUAAAGCCUAAAUCUUUUAUUGUUGUUUGAACCCUGGGCACUGAAGCUAAUAAUGUAACUUUUCUCCCUUCUUUCUUCUUUGGCAUAGAUUUAAAGAACUGUUAGACUCAUUUAAAAUGCUAUUAGGCAUUUUAAAGAGUAAUUGUUAAAUGUGUUGUCUCUUGUGGGACUGGAAAUGUUCUGUUCUUAUCUGGCGCUGGUUACAUCCUGUUUUUCAUUUGGGAAAGUGCAUUGAGCUGGAAAUUUAUAUGUUCAAUUUCUGUAUGUAAAUUGUACUUCAGUAAAAAUUUUCAAAAAAGUGGCUGCCUUUUAUAGCAGGUGUCCCAUGCGCAUAUAUAUAUAUAUAUAUAUAUAUUUUUUUUUUUUUAAGAAGAUGACCUCAAGACCAAGACCUGUUUAAAGGUGGGGAAGGAAGCAGGAUUUGGCAGA
rnacentral:lncRNA from 10 species